rnacentral:misc_RNA from 1 species
UUUCCGUAGGUGAACCUGCGGAAGGAUCAUUACAGAGUUCAUGCCCUCACGGGUAGAUCUCCCACCCUUGAAUAUUUAUACCUUAGUUGCUUUGGCAGGCCGUGGAAACACCAUGGGCUCCGGCUUAUGCGUGCCUGCCAGAGGAAACAAACUCUGUUUUUAGUGAUGUCUGAGUACUAUAUAAUAGUAAAACUUUCAACAACGGAUCUCUUGGUUCUG